GCUUAACACAUGCAAGUCGAACGAGCCUUCGGGCUAGUGGCGGACGGGUGAGUAACGCGUGGGAAUCUGCCCUCAGGAGGGGGAUAACGGCCGGAAACGGCCGCUAAUACCUCAUAUGCCGAGAGGUGAAACGAAUUUCGCCUGGGGAUGAGCCCGCGUCUGAUUAGCUAGUUGGUGAGGUAAUGGCCCACCAAGGCUUCGAUCAGUAGCUGGUCUGAGAGGAUGAUCAGCCACACUGGGACUGAGACACGGCCCAGACUCCUACGGGAGGCAGCAGUGGGGAAUUUUCCGCAAUGGGCGCAAGCCUGACGGAGCAACGCCGCGUGAGGGACGAAGGCCUCUGGGCUGUAAACCUCUUUUCUCAAGGAAGAAGACAUGACGGUACUUGAGGAAUAAGCCACGGCUAAUUCCGUGCCAGCAGCCGCGGUAAUACGGGAGUGGCAAGCGUUAUCCGGAAUUAUUGGGCGUAAAGCGUCCGCAGGCGGCCUUGAAGGUCUGUUGUUAAAGCGUGGAGCUCAACUCCAUUUAAGCAAUGGAAACUACAAGGCUAGAGUGUGGUAGGGGCAGAGGGAAUUCCCGGUGUAGCGGUGAAAUGCGUAGAUAUCGGGAAGAACACCAGUGGCGAAGGCGCUCUGCUGGGCCAUAACUGACGCUCAUGGACGAAAGCCAGGGGAGCGAAAGGGAUUAGAUACCCCUGUAGUCCUGGCCGUAAACGAUGAACACUAGGUGUCGGAAGAAUUAACCCUUUCGGUGUCGUAGCCAACGCGUUAAGUGUUCCGCCUGGGGAGUACGCACGCAAGUGUGAAACUCAAAGGAAUUGACGGGGGCCCGCACAAGCGGUGGAGUAUGUGGUUUAAUUCGAUGCAACGCGAAGAACCUUACCAGGGUUUGACAUCCUGCGAAUCCCUUGGAAACGGGGGAGUGCCUUAGGGAACGCAGUGACAGGUGGUGCAUGGCUGUCGUCAGCUCGUGUCGUGAGAUGUUGGGUUAAGUCCCGCAACGAGCGCAACCCACGUCUUUAGUUGCCAGCAUUCAGUUGGGCACUCUAGAGAGACCGCCGGUGAUAAACCGGAGGAAGGUGUGGAUGACGUCAAGUCAUCAUGCCCCUUACAUCCUGGGCUACACACGUACUACAAUGCUACGGACAAAGGGCAGCAAACUCGCGAGAGCUAGCAAAUCCCAUAAACCGUGGCUCAGUUCAGAUCGUAGGCUGCAACUCGCCUACGUGAAGGAGGAAUCGCUAGUAAUCGCAGGUCAGCAUACUGCGGUGAAUACGUUCCCGGGCCUUGUACACACCGCCCGUCACACCAUGGAAGUUGGCCAUGCCCGAAGUCGUUACUCCAACCCGUAAGGGAGGAGGACGCCGAAGGUGGGGCUGAUGACUGGGGUGAAGUCGUAACAAGGUA
rnacentral:rRNA from 1 species